UACAGAGGUCUCAAGCGUUGUUCGGAUUCAUUGGGCGUAAAGGGUGUGUAGGUGGCGCCGUAAGUCGGGUGUGAAACCUCCAGGCUCAACCUGGAGACGCCACCUGAUACUGCUGUGGCUGGAGUCCGGUAGGGGAGCGUGGAAUUCCUGGUGUAGCGGUGAAAUGCGCAGAUAUCAGGAGGAACACCAGCGGCGAAGGCGGCGCUCUGGGCCGGUACUGACGCUGAGACGCGAAAGCGUGGGGAGCGAACAGG
rnacentral:rRNA from 1 species